rnacentral:rRNA from 1 species
AUUGAACGCUGGCGGCAGGCCUAACACAUGCAAGUCGAGCGGAUGAAGGGAGCUUGCUCCUGGAUUCAGCGGCGGACGGGUGAGUAAUGCCUAGGAAUCUGCCUGGUAGUGGGGGAUAACGUCCGGAAACGGGCGCUAAUACCGCAUACGUCCUGAGGGAGAAAGUGGAGGAUCUUCGGACCUCACGCUAUCAGAUGAGCCUAGGUCGGAUUAGCUAGUUGGUGGGGUAAAGGCCUACCAAGGCGACGAUCCGUAACUGGUCUGAGAGGAUGAUCAGUCACAGUGAAGAAGAGACAGGGCCCAGACCCCGGGGGGGGACACAGGGGGGGAUUAGUGGACACGGGGGGAGAGCCUGACCCACCACUGCGGCGUGGGGGAGGAGGUUCUUGGAUUGUAAAAGAAUUUUAAUGUGGGGGAAGGGAAAUAAAUUUAUAACUUUCUUGUUUUGAGGUGCCAAAAAAAAAAGACGCGGCCUACCUUCGCG